rnacentral:rRNA from 1 species
UGGCGGCGUGCCUAAUACAUGCAAGUCGAGCGAACGGACGAGAAGCUUGCUUCUCUGAUGUUAGCGGCGGACGGGUGAGUAACACGUGGAUAACCUACCUAUAAGACUGGGAUAACUUCGGGAAACCGGAGCUAAUACCGGAUAAUAUUUUGAACCGCAUGGUUCAAAAGUGAAAGGCGGUCUUGCUGUCCCUUAUAGAUGGAUCCGCGCUGCAUUAGCUAGUUGGUAAGGUAACGGCUUACCAAGGCAACGAUGCAUAGCCGACCUGAGAGGGUGAUCGGCCACACUGGAACUGAGACACGGUCCAGACUCCUACGGGAGGCAGCAGUAGGGAAUCUUCCGCAAUGGGCGAAAGCCUGACGGAGCAACGCCGCGUGAGUGAUGAGGGUCUUCGGAUCGUAAAACUCUGUUAUUAGGGAAGAACAUAUGUGUAAGUAACUGUGCACAUCUUGACGGUACCUAAUCAGAAAGCCACGGCUAACUACGUGCCAGCAGCCGCGGUAAUACGUAGGUGGCAAGCGUUAUCCGGAAUUAUUGGGCGUAAAGCGCGCGUAGGCGGUUUUUUAAGUCUGAUGUGAAAGCCCACGGCUCAACCGUGGAGGGUCAUUGGAAACUGGAAAACUUGAGUGCUGAAGAGGAAAGUGGAAUUCCAUGUGUAGCGGUGAAAUGCGCAGAGAUAUGGAGGAACACCAGUGGCGAAGGCGACUUUCUGGUCUGUAA